rnacentral:tRNA from 1 species
GGCCUCGUAGUUCAAUGGAUAGAAUAGAAGUUUCCUAAACUUUAGAUAUGGGUUCGAUUCCCGUCGAGGCUACUA